UGGGGAAUUUUGCGCAAUGGGCGAGAGCCUGACGCAGUGACGCCGCGUGGACGAUGAAGGCCUUCGGGUCGUAAAGUCCUGUCAAGUGGGAAGAAGUGUGUGGUGCCUAAUACGUACCAUGCUUGACGGUACCACUAGAGGAAGCCCCGGCCAACUCCGUGCCAGCAGCCGCGGUAAUACGGGGGGGGCGAGCGUUGUUCGGAAUUAUUGGGCGUAAAGGGCACGUAGGCGGUCAAGCAAGUCAGAUGUGAAAGCCCUCGGCUCAACCGAGGAACUGCAUCUGAAACUGCUAGACUAGAGUCCGGGAGAGGAGAGUGGAAUUCCCAGUGUAGAGGUGAAAUUCGUAGAUAUUGGGAAGAACACCAGUGGCGAAGGCGGCCAUCUGGUCCGGUACUGACGCUGAGGCGCGAAAGCGUGGGGAGCAAACAGGAUUAGAUACCCUGGUAGUCCACGCCGUAAACGAUGUGUGCUAGCCGUUGGGAAACCUAGUUUCUCGGUGGCGCAGCUAACGCGAUAAGCACACCGCCUGGGGAGUACGGUCGCAAGAUUA
rnacentral:rRNA from 1 species